UACAGAGGGUGCGAGCGUUAAUCGGAAUUACUGGGCGUAAAGGGCUCGUAGGCGGCCAACUAAGUCCGACGUGAAAUCCCCAGGCUUAACCUGGGAACUGCGUCGGAUACUGGAUGGCUUGAAUUCGGGAGAGGGAUGCAGAAUUCCAGGUGUAGCGGUGAAAUGCGUAGAUAUCUGGAGGAACACCGGUGGCGAAGGCGGCAUCCUGGACCAAUUCUGACGCUGAGUGAGCGAAAGCCAGGGGAGCAAACGGG
rnacentral:rRNA from 1 species